rnacentral:rRNA from 1 species
UACAGAGGUCUCAAGCGUUGUUCGGAUUCAUUGGACGUAAAGGGUGCGUAGGCGGCGCGGUAAGUCGGGUGUGAAAUCUCGGAGCUUAACUCCGAAACUGCAUUCGAUACUGCCGUGCUUGAGGACUGGAGAGGAGACUGGAAUUUACGGUGUAGCGGUGAAAUGCGUAGAUAUCGUAAGGAAGACCAGUGGCGAAGGCGGGUCUCUGGACAGUUCCUGACGCUGAGGCACGAAGGUCAGGGGAGCAAACGGG